AUCGGAUUUACUGGGCGUAAAGCGUGCGUAGGCGGCUUUUUAAGUCGGAUGUGAAAUCCCUGAGCUUAACUUAGGAAUUGCAUUCGAUACUGGGAAGCUAGAGUAUGGGAGAGGAUGGUAGAAUUCCAGGUGUAGCGGUGAAAUGCGUAGAGAUCUGGAGGAAUACCGAUGGCGAAGGCAGCCAUCUGGCCUAAUACUGACGCUGAGGUACGAAAGCAUGGGGAGCAAACAGGAUUAGAUACCCUGGUAGUCCAUGCCGUAAACGAUGUCUACUAGCCGUUGGGGCCUUUGAGGCUUUAGUGGCGCAGCUAACGCGAUAAGUAGACCGCCUGGGGAGUACGGUCGCAAGACUAAAACUCAAAUGAAUUGACGGGGGCCCGCACAAGCGGUGGAGCAUGUGGUUUAAUUCGAUGCAACGCGAAGAACCUUACCUGGUCUUGACAUAGUAAGAACUUUCCAGAGAUGGAUUGGUGCCUUCGGGAACUUACAUACAGGUGCUGCAUGGCUGUCGUCAGCUCGUGUCGUGAGAUGUUGGGUUAAGUCCCGCAACGAGCGCAACCCUUUUCCUUAUUUGCCAGCGGGUUAAGCCGGGAACUUUAAGGAUACUGCCAGUGACAAACUGGAGGAAGGCGGGGACGACGUCAAGUCAUCAUGGCCCUUACGACCAGGGCUACACACGUGCUACAAUGGUCGGUACAAAGGGUUGCUACCUAGCGAUAGGAUGCUAAUCUCAAAAAGCCGAUCGUAGUCCGGAUUGGAGUCUGCAACUCGACUCCAUGAAGUCGGAA
rnacentral:rRNA from 1 species